rnacentral:rRNA from 1 species
GACGAACGCUGGCGGCGUGCUUAACACAUGCAAGUCGAACGCUGAAGGCCUGGCUUUUGUUGGGUUGGAUGAGUGGCGAACGGGUGAGUAACACGUGAGUAACCUGCCCUCUUCUUUGGGAUAACGCCCGGAAACGGGUGCUAAUACUGGAUAUUCACUGAUCUUCGCAUGGGGGUUGGUGGAAAGGUUUGUUCUGGUGGGGGAUGGGCUCGCGGCCUAUCAGCUUGUUGGUGGGGUGAUGGCCUACCAAGGCUUUGACGGGUAGCCGGCCUGAGAGGGUGACCGGUCACAUUGGGACUGAGAUACGGCCCAGACUCCUACGGGAGGCAGCAGUGGGGAAUAUUGCACAAUGGGCGAAAGCCUGAUGCAGCGACGCCGCGUGAGGGAUGGAGGCCUUCGGGUUGUAAACCUCUUUCGCUCAUGGUCAAGCCGCAACUGUGGGUUGUGGUGAAGGUAGUGGGUAAAGAAGCGCCGGCUAACUACGUG